UCAGGCGUCGCCAAGUGGUAAGGCAGUGGGUUUUGAUCCCACUAUUCGGAGGUUCGAACCCUUCCGCCUGAG
rnacentral:tRNA from 2 species